rnacentral:lncRNA from 1 species
CUUGCUCAAGCGAGUCCUGCGGAUUGUCCUCGAACGAGAUCGGUUCGUCUACCUCACAAUCGGCUUCUAAUAGAGUCGCAUAGCGCACAUACAAAAAUAAAACAUACACAAAUGAAUAAACAUGCACCAUUUCAUAAACAUACACCAAUACAUCAUUAAACACACAUUAACAUAUCACACUAAUCACAUCUUUAAAUUCGUCCUAAUCAUGUAAAUACUUAUUAAUUCACUUAUAGAUAUUAUUGUGAAUCCUAAUGAUGAAUUAUGGGUGGGUGCAAUAAAUACAGUUUUAACUAGUAUUAAUUUAUUUUAACACCAUCAAUGAAAUUAAUGACAAUUAUUGUCUUUUAAUACUAAUAAAUAAAUUAAUACCCUUUUAUCCUUCUUAUUUCUAACUCAAAUUAUUUAGUAUAGCCAAAAAUGAAUAUAACAUUCUAAAAAUCCUUAUAGACUACUAAUUGAACAUUUUCUAACACAAGCGAGAUUAUUUGACAUAAACUAGUACUCUAAAAAUUUAAGUGCUAAAUUUGCGAACAUAAUUAUUUAACUAGCAAAAAUCUAUUUUCCACACUACCGGUGAUAUUUCCUCCUUUCUUUAUAACAAGAAAAUGUUAAUAAAUAAUUAGCUAAAUCAUCUAGAAAUCCUAUAUUAUUCGUAUGACAUGCGUUCUAUACCCUUUUUUCUAAAUCCAUUUAAAAUGCACCUAUAAUUCUCCAAAUAGUUUCUAAGUUUAUUGCGACCAAAUUUACCUACAAAAAUUCCUAUCUAUUGUUUUUAUCACCAACGUGUGACUAAAAAUCUAUAGUCAAUCUUGAGCAAAGAUAACCGUAGAAUUAUUCAUCUAAUAUUUUUGUUACAAAUAUAUGGUCUACAUAUCCCUUAAUCUUUUACUCUAACAAACUAUAUUUAAAUUAAUGUCCACAAUCAUAAUCAAAUCAAAAUACACAAGGGCGAAAGAUAGCAUACACUAAUUAAAAUAGAUCAUCACAUACCUAUGAAAUUAAUUAUUCGGUAUACACCUGAUUUUCAAAUUAAAAAUAUACAACUAAAAUUAUCUAACGAUACAGAAAUUAGAUCGUGAUAGCACAUAAAAUCACAUGGGCUUAUUUUCACUUUCUUUUGAGCGGGAAAAAUUUGUCUAAAUAAUUUUUUUACAUAGUAUCACAGGCUAGCUAGAACGAAUCGUGUCCAUCUUCUACCUUGCUGUACUUGCGCAGAGGGCGGAUGGGGCACAGCGACGUCGAGGUGAGUAGAGGGGCUUGCGGCGUUCGGCGAGCAGGGAAGUCGACGCGGGCACGGCGUCGAGGACACCGGCUAUCCUUGACAGCGGGCAGCUUCGACGAUGGCGAACAGAGGCUGCAACGGCUAGUUUCACAGAGAGAGAGAGAGAGUAGAGAGCGCGUGGAGAGGUUGGGGCGGCCAGGCACUAGCUCCACGAGGCCUGAGCUCGUGAUUUAUAGAGAGGAGGAGGAGGUAGGGACGUCGUACAGAGAGGGAGAACGGUCGGCGUCUUUAACGCCAAUAAUGGUGUGGCGGCCGUUCCUUCACGGAGUGAACGGGGAGAGGAGAGGAACGGGGAAACGGUCGACUGUUACUUGCAUGGGAGGGGCGAGGUGGUGAGAG